GGGCGGGCGGCCGUUAAGACUUGCAGUGAUGUUUAACUCCUCUCCACGUGAACAUCACAGCAAGUCUGUGCUGCUUCCCGUCCCCACGCUGCCUGGGC
ensembl:miRNA